CCCGGAAAUAGGGGCCAGCCUGAGAGCGCAGCUGGCUGUUCCCACCUCCGCUGCGGAGCUUCCCCGGUCGCUGGCCCUUACCAGCUCUUUGGGAGGCUUCUCCUGGGUUUUUCCAAAGAGUCCCAUGAUGAACUGAACUCCUCUUACCCCUUCCGACUUUCCGUUCCCUGCGCCCAGGAAGUCUUAAAAGUUCUAGCAGUGAUCUUAUGCUGAAGCUGGAGAAGAAGGGAUUGAUUCAACAGAUUAUAACAUUUGUUUCGCUUGUAAGAUUAAGGUUAAACAGACCUGCACGAGUCAGCUGAAACUAACUUUUAAAGAAGAGAUAACAAAAGACUUGCAUUCUGCACACAUUAAAGAAAUGGAUUCAUAGACAAGGAACUGUGCAAGGAAACUUGGGCCCCUGGAAGAACAGGAAGCCACUUCUACAGCCUCAUCUUACCUUUAAAAAACAAACACCGGGGAAAUCUUUUUUAAAAAAAACCCUAUUUUCUUUACUGAAACUUUAAUGAUAAACAUAAAUAUUCUCUAAUGGAACAGAGGC
ensembl:antisense 1700040L08Rik RIKEN cDNA 1700040L08 gene